rnacentral:sRNA from 1 species
UGUGAGGGCGAUCUGGCUGCGACAGCUGUCACCCCAUUGAUCGCCAGGGUUGAUUCGGCUGAUCUGGCUGGCUGGGGGGUCUCCCCUUCCUCCCUCACUGU